UAUAUUUCAAGAGACAGACUUGCUAACUAGAAAAAAACACGUAGCACAUUACCAGCCUUUUUCUUCAGGCCCGUCCUUGGUAGUGCAGGGGUCCUGCAGAGCAGCUCGACCUCAUUCACAGGACAGAAGAGAAGUGAAACUGUGUUACCGAACACGUGGCAAACAUGAAUAAUAAAACGCCGGUGUAGCUUUCGGAAAUGACUCCUCUCUCUGGUUUCUCCUCACAGAGUCACACUUCUGAUGCCUGCGUUCAGACCCGCAGGGAGUCUGACAAGCGGAGCUCCAGGCUGGACCGCCGGCGGGCUCGAUCGGCUGACCUGGAGAAGAUAAGACGCUCGCAGCUGAUGGUGGUGGACGACCACUGGAUGACAGAGUACAUGCGCUGUUUCUCCGCCCGGCUUAGACAUGGCUGGUAAGGACAUGAGGAGGAAACAGUAGGAGCUGUGUGAGGUUACUAAAGGCAGUGGAUCCCUCAGCAGCUGGAUUACAAAGAGCACAGUCUCAGAUCAACACAGCGCUGCCCUCCAGCACUAUCAGCAGCAGGAGCAGCAGCAACCCCUCAACAGCAACAUUGUACCCAUCAGGAGGAGUAAUGACUCAUGUGAGCAGACAGAUGGACGACGGACGGUUCCCCGUGGCAGGAGCUCAUCGGUCCUGCAGCCGGAUGAGCUGAAAUGUGACUUAAUGCUUGA